rnacentral:rRNA from 1 species
UACGGAGGGUGCGAGCGUUAAUCGGAAUUACUGGGCGUAAAGCGCGCGUAGGUGGUCUGUUAAGUCUGAUGUGAAAGCCCUCGGCUCAACCGAGGAAGUGCAUUGGAAACCAACAAGCUUGAGUUCGAUAGGGGAUCGGGGAAUUCCUGGUGUAGCAGUGAAAUGCGUAGAUAUCAGGAGGAACACUGGUGGCGAAGGCGCCGAUCUGGGUCGAUACUGACGCUUAGGAGCGAAAGCGUGGGGAGCAAACAGG